UGAGGAACAUGACUUUCGGCGGGGGAUAGCCGGCCCAACGGCCGGGUAAUACCGCGUACGACCUUUUGGGGACAUCCCCGAUUGGUGAAAGCAGCAAUGCGCCGAAAGAGUGCCUCGCGGCCUAUCAGCUAGUUGGUGGGGUAAUGGCUCACCAAGGCGACGACGGGUAGCUGGUCUGAGAGGACGACCAGCCACACUGGAACUGAGAUACGGUCCAGACUCCGUAGGGAGCAG
rnacentral:rRNA from 1 species